CAGGUUGGGUUGGGAAAGUCGUGGAAGGUCACAGAAUGGGUUGGGAAGGUCCUGGAAGGUCACAGAAUGAGUUGGGAAGGUCCUGGAAGGUCACAGAAUGAGUUGGGAAGGUCCUGGAAGUUCACCGCGCCACGGGUUGGGUUGGGAAGGUCCUGGAAGGUCACAGAAUGGGUUGGGAAAGUCCUGGAAGGUCACAGAAUGGGUUGGGAAGGUCCUGGAAGGUCAC